UACGGAGGGUGCGAGCGUUGUUCGGAAUCACUGGGCGUAAAGGGCGUGUAGGCGGUCUGUUAAGUCUGAUGUGAAAGCCCGGGGCUCACCCCCGGAAGUGCAUUGGAUACUGGCGGACUCGAGUCUCGGAGAGGAGGGUGGAAUUCCUGGUGUAGCGGUGAAAUGCGUAGAUAUCAGGAGGAACACCGGUGGCGAAGGCGGGUCUCUGGGCCGAUGCUGACGCUGAGGAGCGAAAGCGUGGGGAGCGAACAGG
rnacentral:rRNA from 1 species